UAGGUAGGGUGCAAGCGUUAAUCGGAAUUACGGGGCGUAAAGCGUGCGCAGGCGGUGCUGUAAGACAGGCGUGAAAUCCCCGGGCUUAACCUGGGAAUGGCGCUUGUGACUGCAGUGCUGGAGUGCGGCAGAGGGGGAUGGAAUUCCGCGUGUAGCAGUGAAAUGCGUAGAUAUGCGGAGGAACACCGAUGGCGAAGGCAAUCCCCUGGGCCUGCAAUGACCCUCAUGCACGAAAGCGUGGGGAGAAAACAGG
rnacentral:rRNA from 1 species